UACUUUUUAGGGACCAACAAAGGAACUAUAAAAACUAGAUGGUGGUGUCUUACCGUAGCAGUGUCAAGGAGAGAAGUAUCAUUGGGCCUGUAUGCAAGUAUGCAAACUAUCCGCUGGAACCCGUGAAAUAUUGUAGCACUGGCCGUUACUACAUAAGUCAAAAUAAAUCCUCGGUCCCUUGGGAUGUUUCUGUAAAGCUCACUGUUACAGUACAUAAAAGAGAGAGGAUCUUGAGAAGAUGACCAACAAUACAAUAGAACAGAUUUGCAGAACCAUCUCACUGAGGCUGUCACUCAGGACAUCCAGAAAUAUCCAGCAUCUUCAAAUUUGCCUUCUAUAGAAAUUGCCUUCAAAACCAGGAAGACAAAUAUAGUACAUACUCACUCAUAGGUGGAUAUCAGACAUAAAGCAAAAGAUACUCUACAAUCCACAACCCCAGAGAAGCUAGAACCCUCUCCCAGAAACAGAUGGAAGCAGAUGCAGUAAUCUACAGCUAACUAUUGGGCCAAGCUCCUAGAGUUCAAUCGAAGUGAGGGGGGAGAGAAAAUGUGAACAAAGGAGUCAAGACCAUGAUGGGGGAAACCACAGAAUCAGCUGACCUGAACUAGUGAGAGAUCGCUGAAUCAGGUCUGACAAAUGGGGAACCAGCAUAAGACAGAACUAGACUCCCUUAAUAUGGGUGACAAUGGUGUGGAUGGGACAAUAUAUGAGGCCACUGGCAGUGGGUCCAAGAUCUAACACUAAUGCACAAACUGACUUAAGGGAGUCCAUUCUAUUUGGAGAGAUACCUUGUUCAGCCUAGACACAGGGGUAUGAGGGGUGGAGAGGUGCCUUAGUCCUGCCUCAAUGACAUGAUGGGACAGAUUUAGUAGACUUCUUAAGGGAAGCCUUACCCUCUCUGAAGAGCAG
rnacentral:lncRNA from 1 species